GGCAUCCCAUCGCUAACUAUAAAAAGGGUCCUGCGCCAGGAUUUUAAUUCAUUCAGAAAUCCUAAUCUCUUCUUUCUUACACAAGUCUCUCCUCUUGUCCAAUUAUUUCCUUCCUUUUCUUAUUAGGACAAGUCCUAAAAUAGUAAGGACAAGUCGGAUUUUAGGACAAGGGCCUAGGAAGAGAUAUAAGGAAGACGAGGGACAAGAAAGAAAGAGAUGGGAAGGCUA
rnacentral:lncRNA from 1 species